GAUGAACGCUCGCUACAGGCUUAACACAUGCAAGUCGAGGGGAAACGGCAUCGAAAGCUUGCUUUUGAUGGGCGUCGACCGGCGCACGGGUGAGUAACGCGUAUCCAACCUGCCCAUCACUUGGGAAUAACCUUGCGAAAGUAAGACUAAUGCCCAAUGACAUCCCACGAAGGCAUCCGAAUGGGAUUAAAGAUUUAUCGGUGAUGGAUGGGGAUGCGUCUGAUUAGCUUGUUGGCGGGGUGACGGCCCACCAAGGCAACGAUCAGUAGGGGUUCUGAGAGGAAGGUCCCCCACAUUGGAACUGAGCCACGGUCCAAACUCCUACGGGAGGCAGCAGUGAGGAAGAUUGGGCAAGGGGCGAGAGCCUGAACCAGCCAAGUAGCGUGCAGGAGGACGGCCCUAUGGGUGGUAAACUGCUUUUAUAAGGGAAUAAAGUGGGUCACGUGUGACUUUUUGCAUGUACCUUAUGAAUAAGGACCGGCUAAUUCCGUG
rnacentral:rRNA from 1 species